UCGAGGAUUUUUUGCAAUGGGCGAAAGCCUGACAAAGCGACGCCGUGUGAAUGAAGAAGGCCUUCGGGUUGUAAAGUUCUUUCGCUUGGGAACAAGAGAAUUAGGUUAACAAUCUAAUGAUUUGAGAGUACUAGGUAAAGGAGCACCGGCUAACUCCGUGCCAGCAGCUGCGGUAAUACGGAGGGUGCAAGCAUUAAUCGGAAUUACUGGGCGUAAAGGGCGCGUAGGCGUUUAAGAAAGUUGCAUGUGAAAUAUCAUAGCUUAACUAUGGUGCGGCAUGCAAAACUUCUUGAAUAAGAGGAUAAGUGGGGAAAAGGGAAUUCCACGUGUAGCGGUGAAAUGCGUAGAUAUGUGGAGGAACACCAGAGGCGAAGGCGCUUUUCUAACUUAUACCUGACGCUGAGGCGCGAAAGCAAGGGGAGCAAACAGG
rnacentral:rRNA from 1 species